rnacentral:rRNA from 1 species
GUGGGGAAUAUUGGGCAAUGGGGGAAACCCUGACCCAGCGACGCCGCGUGAGGGAAGACGGCCUUCGGGUUGUAAACCUCUUUUGUACGGGAAGAAGGAAGUGACGAUACUGUACGAAUAAGUCCCGGCUAACUACGUGCCAGCAGCCGCGGUAAUACGUAGGGGACGAGCGUUGUCCGGAAUUACUGGGCGUAAAGGGCGCGCAGGCUGUGCUGCAAGUCAGCUGUGAAAUGUCUGGGCUUAACCCGGGCAUGCGGUUGAGACUGCAGUGCUGGAGUGCUGUAGAGGCAAGUGGAAUUCCCAGUGUAGCGGUGAAAUGCGUAGAUAUUGGGAAGAACACCGGUGGCGAAGGCGACUUGCUGGGCAGCAACUGACGCUGAGGCGCGAAAGCCAGGGGAGCAAACGGGAUUAGAAACCCCGGUAGUCC